rnacentral:rRNA from 1 species
GAUGAACGCUGGCGGCGUGCUUAACACAUGCAAGUCGAACGAUGAAGCCCAGCUUGCUGGGUGGAUUAGUGGCGAACGAGUGAGUAACACGUGAGUAACCUGCCCUUAACUCUGGGAUAAGCCUGGGAAACUGGGUCUAAUACCGGAUAGGAGCGUCCACCGCAUGGUGGGUGUUGGAAAGAUUUAUCGGUUUUGGAUGGACUCGCGGCCUAUCAGCUUGUUGGUGAGGUAAUGGCUCACCAAGGCGACGACGGGUAGCCGGCCUGAGAGGGUGACCGGCCACACUGGGACUGAGAAACGGCCCAGACUCCUACGGGAGGCAGCAGUGGGGAAUAUUGCACAAUGGGCGCAAGCCUGAUGCAGCGACGCCGCGUGAGGGAUGACGGCCUUCGGGUUGUAAACCUCUUUCAGUAGGGAAGAAGCGAAAGUGACGGUACCUGCAGAAGAAGCACCGGCUAACUACGUG